rnacentral:rRNA from 1 species
AGUGAACGCUGGCGGUAGGCCUAACACAUGCAAGUCGAACGGCAGCACAGUAAGAGCUUGCUCUUACGGGUGGCGAGUGGCGGACGGGUGAGGAAUACAUCGGAAUCUACUUUUUCGUGGGGGAUAACGUAGGGAAACUUACGCUAAUACCGCAUACGACCUACGGGUGAAAGCAGGGGAUCUUCGGACCUUGCGUGAUUGAAUGAGCCGAUGCCGGAUUAGCUAGUUGGCGGGGUAAAGGCCCACCAAGGCAACGAUCCGUAGCUGGUCUGAGAGGAUGAUCAGCCACACUGGAACUGAGACACGGUCCAGACUCCUACGGGAGGCAGCAGUAGGGAAUAUUGGACAAUGGGCGCAAGCCUGAUCCAGCCAUACCGCGUGGGUGAAGAAGGCCUUCGGGUUGUAAAGCCCUUUUGUUGGGGAAGAAAAGCAGCAGGUUAAUACCCCGCUGUUCUGACGGUACCCAAAGAAUAAGCACCGGCUAACUUCGUG